rnacentral:rRNA from 1 species
CCUACGGGGGGCAGCAGUGAGGAAUAUUGGUCAAUGGGCGUAAGCCUGAACCAGCCAAUUCGCGUGAGGGAUGAAGGUUCUAUGGAUCGUAAACCUCUUUUAUAAGGGAAUAAAGUGCGGGACGUGUCCCGUUUUGUAUGUACCUUAUGAAUAAGGAUCGGCUAACUCCGUGCCAGCCGCCGCGGUAAGACGGAGGAUCCGAGCGUUAUCCGGAUUUAUUUGGUUUAAAGGGUGCGUAGGCGGCCUUUUAAGGCAGCGGUGAAAGUCUGUGGCUCAACCAUGGAAUUGCAGUUGAAACUGGGUGGCUUGAGUGCGUCAGAGGCAGGCGGAAUGCGUGGUGUAGCGGUGAAAUGCGUAGAUAUCACGAAGAACCCCGAUUGCGAAGGCAGCCUGCCAGGCCAUAACUGACGCUGAUGCACGAAAGCGUGGGGAUCAAACAGGAUUAGAUACCCUAGUAGUC